CGGGGCGUAGCGCAGCCUGGUAGCGCACUUGCAUGGGGUGCAAGUGGUCGGUGAUCUUGCCCCGC
rnacentral:tRNA from 1 species